AAAAACUUAGGAUAAGACUAAAACCAUGGACCUUCAAAGCCCAAAAUAGGGGAUAACCCCCUAGUUUUUG
rnacentral:tRNA from 1 species